rnacentral:lncRNA from 1 species
AAUUGUAUCUAUCAGAUAAAAAAAAGAUUGAUAAAUUUAAACGGUUAGAAAGUUAUUAUUACAAGGAAAAAGGCUACAGCAGUAGUUGUGAACCACUGUCAUGGGCUAAAAAAUUACUGCCAUAGCCUACGACAGUGGUUGCACAAUUGCUACUGUAUCCAUACUAAUUGCUGCCAAUUGUUCCGUACCAACCGCUGUCAU